UCUGGCUUAGUAUAUAUAAAUGCGAAGGGUUGUAAACCCUUAAAAAAGCCGAAGGCUA
rnacentral:tRNA from 1 species